UCCUCCCUCUGUCUGCGUGCUUAACACAUGCAAGUCGAACGGAAAGGCCCUGCUUUUGUGGGGUGCUCGAGUGGCGAACGGGUGAGUAACACGUGAGUAACCUGCCCUUGACUUUGGGAUAACUUCAGGAAACUGGGGCUAAUACCGGAUAGGAGCUCCUGCUGCAUGGUGGGGGUUGGAAAGUUUCGGCGGUUGGGGAUGGACUCGCGGCUUAUCAGCUUGUUGGUGGGGUAGUGGCUUACCAAGGCUUUGACGGGUAGCCGGCCUGAGAGGGUGACCGGCCACAUUGGGACUGAGAUACGGCCCAGACUCCUACGGGAGGCAGCAGUGGGGAAUAUUGCACAAUGGGCGGAAGCCUGAUGCAGCAACGCCGCGUGCGGGAUGACGGCCUUCGGGUUGUAAACCGCUUUCGCCUGUGACGAAGCGUGAGUGACGGUAAUGGGUAAAGAAGCACCGGCUAACUACGUG
rnacentral:rRNA from 1 species